rnacentral:lncRNA from 1 species
CUUAACAUAAAAUUUAAAUUCGUCACCAAUUAAAGAUAAUACAUGACACGUACAACAUAAAAAUAAAAUACUACACUUAACGCAUUUAUAUGUUUGUUUAGUUUUACGAUCUGGAGUCCAUGAUCUGGAGUUCGUAUUUACCGGUCAGAUCCAAAUGUUUAGCAAACAUGAUCUGUAGUAUUCCUGAUUAAUAGAUUCAUCAUACCAUUCUUCAUAACCACAUUGAUUUUCGUCCUACCAACGGAAAAAUAACACAAGACUAUUAAUUAACAUGUUAUAUAAAAAGUAUUAACAUGCAUUUUUUCCAAGAAUAAUUACUUACAACUUAUGUACACAUCCAACGCCUGUGCCCCAGAUUGCAAUUUGACUAACAUGGCUUCAAAAUCGCACGUCUGCCACAGUAACACCUUGGUACCUAAUUGCGUCGAGACAUGUUGUAAUGCUCGAAAAUAAAAAAUUAAUGAAAAAUGUUUCUAUUCGUUUCG